rnacentral:rRNA from 1 species
CUACGGGUUGCAGCAGUGGGGAAUAUUGCGCAAUGGAGGAAACUCUGAUGCAGCAACGCCGCGUGGAGGAUGACACUUUUCGGAGCGUAAACUCCUUUUAUAUAGGAAGAAGAUGACGGUACUAUAUGAAUAAGCGCCGGCUAACUCCGUGCCAGCAGCCGCGGUAAUACGGAGGGCGCAAGCGUUACUCGGAAUCACUGGGCGUAAAGAGCGUGUAGGCGGAUUAAAAAGUCAGAAGUGAAAUCCUAUAGCUUAACUAUAGAACUGCUUCUGAAACUCUUAAUCUAGAAUAUGGGAGAGGUAGAUGGAAUUUCUGGUGUAGGGGUAAAAUCCGUAGAGAUCAGAAGGAAUACCGAUUGCGAAGGCGAUCUACUAGAGCAUUAUUGACGCUGAGACGCGAAAGCGUGGGGAGCAAACAGGAUUAGAUACCCGCGUAGUC